rnacentral:lncRNA from 1 species
UCGCUACCAGUUCGCCAUGUACCUGUAAUCCUCUGAUGUAGUUCGCUACAGCGAAUUGAGAUUCGCUUAGCGAAUGAGUUCGCUACCUGUUCGCUAUGGGUUCGCUUAGCGAACAGUGCUGAACCUGCAACUUUUGUUAAUGUUUGUAAGUAUGAUUUGGCACUUGUAACAUGGUUUAAGGGUAUCCUUACAUGAUUGUUGAUACA